GUUGUGAUUGGCCCCACUUGCAGAUAGGGGGAGAUCGCGAACGUCAGGUCUUCCCAGUAUGAAAAUGUGAUGCAAGGGAUUUUGUCAUCGACAGCCAUCAACACUGUUAAGCCCUGCACAACUAACGUGCUGUUUCCCAUUUAACAACAGGUAUUUAUACAUGUUAUAUUGUGUAUUGUAUUUUUGUAUUUUGUUCGCCCAGUAUGAAAAUGUGAUGCAAGGGAUUUUGUCAUCGACAGCCAUCAACACUGUUAAGCCCUGCACAACUAACGUGCUGUUUCCCAUUUAACAACAGGUAUUUAUACAUGUUAUAUUUUGUAUUGUAUUUUUGUAUUUUGUUCGCCCAGUAUGAAAAUGUGAUGCAAGGGAUUUUGUCAUCGACAGCCAUCAACACUGUUAAGCCCUGCACAACUAACGUGCUGUUUCCCAUUUAACAACAGCAGAAAUAAAUGAUGCUCAACUGGGA